UACGUAGGGUGCAAGCGUUAAUCGGAAUUACUGGGCGUAAAGCGUGCGCAGGCGGCUUUGCAAGACAGAUGUGAAAUCCCCGGGCUUAACCUGGGAACUGCAUUUGUGACUGCAUGGCUGGAGUGCGGCAGAGGGGGAUGGAAUUCCGGCGUGUAGCAGUGAAAUGCGUAGAGAUGUGGAGGAACACCAAUGGCGAAGGCAGCCUUCUGGGCCAACACUGACGCUCAUGCACGAAAGCGUGGGGAGCAAACAGG
rnacentral:rRNA from 1 species